ensembl:lncRNA
AUGAAACCUCGGGCGCUCGUGAUUGUUUGAAAGAAGUUGCUGGAAAUGACUUAUGGAUCCGUCGUCUUUGUUUGCCUGUGGACACGAUGAUUGAUUAAUGCAUUAGAUGAAGCAAGAUUUAAAAAGAAAAAAAAGAAAAUCACAAAUGGAGGCACUGACACUGUCUGUUGCUCCUCAGGGAAGUACGGACGUCACGCCGGCCUGCCGUUCCUCAGACCUCCUCUCACCACCGCUCUGCUCACACUGGGGAAAGCGCACCAGGUCACAACCGCAGCAUCAGCAUCUUGUGUGGGAAUAUCUUUGUGUGUGUGUGUAUGUGAACAAGUGUGUCACUGUUUCUUCUCCUUCUCUCCUUUACGUUGCAGAAUGCUAUGCUUGGUAAUGGACUCGUGCUUCAGAACCUGUUGCACAUGCAGCUCGCACAGCAACAGCUUCUUCACAUCAAAGACAAACGCAUCAGCAGCGUAAGACACACCUUUAGUGUGUGUGUGUGUGUGUGUGUGUGUGUGUUUGUGCGCGUGUGUGGUUCGUGGCCAUGUGCAUAUCUAUAAUGAAACCAAACAAACCCCAAGUCACGCUUCUUCUCUGUUGAAAUUUCCUUCCACGUGUUGAUUUGCAUGUUUUCUCAUGAAACGCCUCUGGUUCCUUCUUCAAUUGCUGGAGUCAAAGUUCUUAUUCACACGAUCGUAUUAACUUAUGAUUCAUAAUCCCAUAGACCAUAGUCCGGUGUUUCUUUUUUGUUUCCUUCCCAUAAAUCCUUUUAUUGUAUUUUCUCACUUUCCUUUCUUCUAUGUCACAUUUUGUCGAUCGCUCAUAUCCUUUUUCCUUCUCUCUGUCCCGAAUGCUCUCCAUCCUGCUCUUCUCCUCUGUCUCCUCCUCAGGUCUCCAGUCUGCUCGGGGACCCGUCCAGGCUGCUGAUGCAAAAAGCGUUGUCCCUGCGGCCUCCGGGCCUCGUGCCACUGGGCAAAGGCCUCCUGGGAGACUCCCCGACAGAGUUGAGCCAGGAGCCCCCAACCACCCACAAUGCCGCCGUGGUGGUGUCAGCAGCGGGUAUGAUGCCGUACCUCCAGGCCCGAGCUGGAGCGGGAGAACAAAACAGCAUCCAUUCCAUGUCCACAGCCCACUCUGCGUCCUCCUCCUCCUCCUCCUCCUCCUGCUCCUCCUCCACCUCCUUUGACAGACAGCCUGCUCCCCCUGGGACCAUGGUGAGCUCCCAGCUGCAGGGACAGAGCUACUCCUUGGGAAUGAGUAACUCAGGCCUCGGCCCACCUCCGCCCAAGGCCCCCGGGGGAGUGUAUACGUCAGCGGGCCAGCACAACGGUGCAGACGGAUGCUCCCUGGCUGGCAUGGUCGGCGGUGGUCAGAGUUCUCUGCUGGGCGAUCCUCCUAAAGAGGUCCGCAUGCCCUCCAAUCCUUACCUGAACCUGGCCAGUGUGAUGCCGGGCGUGGUCCUGCAAGGGUCGCUGGGGAGUAAAGCACAGGGAGGGCAGCCCGGCCCCGGGAUGUACAGCGGCUCCGUCGCUCCCGUCGUCUCCCAGGGCUCCGCCUCCUUCUCCCACAGCGCUGCCGCCGCCGCUGCCGCCGCCGCCGCCGCGACUACCGCCCCGUACACCGCGGACACCUCGGCCGACUACAGCCAGUACAACCAGGCCUACACACAGGAGGCCAUGCAGCAGUGGUACCAGCACUACCAGGCGGCACAAGCUCACACCUACAGCACUGCCGCUCCGCAGGACAACACGGCCGCGGACUACAGCAAGGAGCACGCACAGCCUCCGCCCGUGUCCUACGGGGAUUACAGCUCCUACAUGCAGGCGGUCACUCAGUACUACUCCCAACCUGCAGCGGCCAACCAGGCCUACGGCAGCAAGGAGGUAGAUGUGUGUAAGCCUCUGGGCGUGUCCCUGCACGCCGUCAGCAACGGUGCGGCUCCUCCGCCGGCCGUCCUGCCGGCCGCCGCCGUGCUCCCGGCCUACAGCGCCCUGCCACUAAUGCCCGGCUUCCUCGGGGGCGCCGCACCCGGCGGCGGCCGCUCCCAGCCCCGUGACGCACGCGCACACUGCCGCCACCGACUGGAACACUUACUACUACAACCAGACCAGGGGCCACAAGAGAGAGUAUCCUCAGCUGGCGGUGCAGGAAGUGACGUCAUCGGAGGGCGCCUACAUCGGGCAGCACUCGCAGGGCCUGGGCGGCCAGUACGCCGACUACUUCAAGAGGAAGAGGCUCUAGUGUAUGAACCCCAAACCACCUCAAAGCCUCAAGCUUAUGGAGGGAGGCACAGACGGCGUCCGCCGGAUGCCACAGCCCCCUCUAGUGGCCUUUCUGUGGCUGCCAUUUUGCAUCCCUAA